rnacentral:rRNA from 1 species
UACGAAGGGGGCUAGCGUUGCUCGGAAUCACUGGGCGUAAAGGGUGCGUAGGCGGGUCUUUAAGUCAGGGGUGAAAUCCUGGAGCUCAACUCCAGAACUGCCUUUGAUACUGAGGAUCUUGAGUUCGGGAGAGGUGAGUGGAACUGCGAGUGUAGAGGUGAAAUUCGUAGAUAUUCGCAAGAACACCAGUGGCGAAGGCGGCUUACUGGCCCGAUACUGACGCUGAGGCACGAAAGCGUGGGGAGCAAACAGG